CAGCCGCCGCGGUAAUACAGAGGGUGCAAGCGUUAAUCGGAAUUACUGGGCGUAAAGCGCGCGUAGGUGGUUUGUUAAGUUGGAUGUGAAAUCCCCGGGCUCAACCUGGGAACUGCAUCCAAAACUGGCAAGCUAGAGUAUGGUAGAGGGUGGUGGAAUUUCCUGUGUAGCGGUGAAAUGCGUAGAUAUAGGAAGGAACACCAGUGGCGAAGGCGACCACCUGGACUGAUACUGACACUGAGGUGCGAAUGCGUGGGGAGCAAACAGGAUUAGAUACCCCAGUAGUCCCUGUCUCUUAUAC
rnacentral:rRNA from 1 species